CAGACCACACAAACAAGGAGGAAAACACCCUACUCACAGACCUACUUGCAUACCAGCAUGAAUCCUCCAGAGCAGAUCAGGCAACAGCACAGAGCAAUAGCUGCAAAGGAUCUCAGUUUGCAUAAGAAGAAUGGUAGUAAGACCAACAGGCAACAUUUUCCUAAAGGAAGCCCCAUCAGGACAGCAGGAAAUGCACCUCAGCAAUAAAGUUCAAUGAAGGAUGGAGAUUUUCAUUCUGGCCAUUUUCAGUCAUUUUCUA
rnacentral:lncRNA from 1 species